UACGUAGGGUGCAAGCGUUGUCCGGAAUUAUUGGGCGUAAAGAGCUUGUAGGCGGUUUGUCGCGUCUGCUGUGAAAUUUCGGGGCUCAACCCCGAACUUGCAGUGGGUACGGGCAGACUAGAGUGUGGUAGGGGAGACUGGAAUUCUUGGUGUAGCGGUGAAAUGCGUAGAUAUCAAGAGGAACACCUGAGGCGAAGGCGGGUUGCUGGGCUGAUACUGACGCUGAGGCGCGAAAGCCAGGGGAGCAAACGGG
rnacentral:rRNA from 1 species